rnacentral:tRNA from 1 species
GGAUUUAACUCAGUGGUAGAGUGCUUGCCUAGCAAGCUCAAGGCCCUGGGUUCAAUCCCCAGCUCCA